UCUUGACCUCGGAUCAGGUAGGGAUACCCGCUGAAACUUAAGCAUA
rnacentral:rRNA from 1 species